AGAAAUAAAAUAGCCUCAGGGAUUUUGUUAUAACACAAAAUGAACUAAGGCAUCUAUCUACUUGGGUGAUAUGGCUGAGCAGAGAACCGCAGAGAUGCACAAUACCAUAAAAUGUUAUUUUCCAAUUACAGGGCACAACAUAUGUGCAUAUCCUCUAUAACAUACAUAGCAUGAAAUGUUAAAGAACUAGGAAGUUGCAGGGUUUGAGUACCUGUUAUCUUUGACUUUAAUAGAACAUGGCACUUGUAACUUGAUUUUUAAUCUGGCUUUGUUUAACCAGCUUACAAAAUCCUCUUAAGUUCAGCACUCAAAUGCCAGGCCACAAGGAGGCUUCUUGGACCUAGCUCAGGUAGUGAGGGGCAGGAGGAAGGUAGAGAAAAAGAGGCCUGUGUGGAAAAUACAGAGACUAGGCCCUUGCUCCAGGAUGCCAACCUGUGGUAAAGCCAGAAGGAACAGAGAGGAAGCUUAGCCUGAUCUUGUAAGGGAGACCCUGAGAGAAGUCCCAACUCCCUGUUGGAGCUGUCAGGGAGCAAUGGCCACCUGCUUCACACUUCUCCCUUUGCCCGACCCACAUCCUGUUUGUAAGUAUUUUUUUUUUCCAUAAGCUGUUGGAGGUCAGGAGCUGCGUGGCUUCCUGCCUCACCCUGAAGGAACCUGGCAUAGAGCUCAACCUUUAGGAGAGGCUCGGUGGACACUUGUGGCAUCAAGCCAAUGGCCAGCCCAACCCCGUGAUUCCAGGCACUGCCCUCCACAGCCUUAUCUCAGCCUUACUUCCUAUUUGGAUAUCAGGUUUGGGUAACAGGUGCACCUGCACCUGGCUUUAUCACCUGGGCGAGAGGAACGGGGGUCACCUUUCAGAUCAGACUCGGGGAGGAGGGGAAGUUGGAGCGUGAGGUCACAGAGCGUGAGGUCCCGGUUUCCAGGCUCUCAAAGUGGUUCUGUUCUCUCAUUCAUUUCUUCACUUAUUCACUCACCCAUCCUUCCUCUCUCCAACAAUGUGCUCUGAACACUGACUCUAUGUCCAGCCCUGCAGAAAAACAUCCCAUCCCCACCCCCUGCUUGGAUUGUGGUCAAGCAAAGUAUAGGUUUCUGAACUAGGCGGUUAUAGUUUCAGCGUCUGGGUCUUCACUGACACCUAGGAAGCCAUGGCUCUCUCUUCCUUGAGCUUCUGUUUCCCUUCCUUGUGACCAGGAUUUAUAAGGCCUCUCUUGCAAGGCGGGAGGUGCUGGGACGGAUAUAAUCACCAACUUCCAUUUGAAGUCCCAUCCAUCGCAGCUCCUCUUCCUGAUGUAUCCCAGCCAGUCCUGUAUCUUCUCGCGACUUUCCCACCUCUUUGCUUUGGUCUGUUCUGCUUCAGUGGUCAUCAUAGCUUUCCAAAGGGCAGUGCCCAGAAUGCCAGCAUCUGCAUCGCCCAGGAGCCUGCUAGGAUGUCAGUUCCUGGAUCCCAGAAAGUUAUACAGAUAGAAAAGAGAUUUUUUUUAAUUUUUGAGAUUAUAAUUUAAUUACAUUUCUCCCUUCUCUUUCUUCCCUCUAAAACACCCCGUAAUUCCCAUUCCUACUCCCCUUCAGAUUCAAAGCCUAUUUUCCCCCCACUAAUUGUUGGAAAGCAGAGACAGUUUAUGGAACACAGCUACACAGAUGGAAUAGCAAAUGCAUUCCUGAGGCAGGUGCCCAUGUUUGGCACUCUUAGACUCUGAGAUGUCCCUUGGUGGCAGUGCCAGGUGCCAGAGAUCUAAAGGAAGGAGAAAGAAUGUCAGGAGGGCCCAGAAACAUGUCUGCCUAGCAGUGAGGUUAGGAGAUGGAGCAUAUACAUGAAUGAUCCUGGCAUGAAUGAACAGAAGAGAUGAGCACAAAGGAUGCCCAAUGCUACCUGUACCUAAGGGUGGGACCUACCCCAUACAGAGAUGCAAGAAGGCUCAAGGCCCACACUAACCCCUGCAGGUGGCAUCCAACAAGGAAAUUCUCUAGGUCAAGUAUGUAGAUAUUUUGAAUGCUUGGUCUCAUGAUUUUUGUUUUUUGGUUUUUGGGUUUUUUUUUUUUUUUUUUUUUUUUUUGUCCCUGUAGUAGAUUAUGUGUCCUGGUGACAUCAAUACCUGUAUCAUUGCUCAUUGAGGGGGACCCUCCACCAUGGGUCGGGCUGGACACUAUGCCCACAUGCCUAUCAAAGGGAAAAGACGCUAGGAUCAAACUGAGAAUUCAGUUUGUGAUCAGACUGUGACAGAUGGGAGAGUAGAGUUGGGAAAGUCAUGUCAGUUCUCAGAGCUUCGGAUUGCUACUCUGUAAACUGAGGAAGACAAACCCCACCUCUCAGGCUGUUGCUGAGGAAGUCAAAGUGAACUGGAAAAGGCAUUGAAGGCUCCACACAAACACAGGCAGGGAGCAAGGGCUCUGUCUUUCCCCAUCCCUUGUUCGGAACAGGAUCCCAGUCACGGGCUGCUCCCCUCUCAAGUGGAAGAAAGUCAGUCAGCAGUCCCAUUGACUGCCUUGGCUCUGGCAGCCAGGCUCUGAAACCACCCACAAAGAUGAUGUUUCAGUACUUUGACGGGCAUGCCUGUGCUGAGCACAGAAGGUUUGCAUUUUCCUUGGGACAGUUGGAGAGACAGGAAGUGGGAGGCACUGGGAGGCAGAAGGAGGGUCCCAAGCCAGGGCCAGCAGGAGAGCCUGAAGGAUGCCAGAAAGCCUGUAAUGGAUGCUCAAGUGACCAGAGAAGGACAAGGGGAGCCUGUUUAAGACCCAGGUCCUUGGCAUUUUGCUCAGAGUGCUCAGUUAAAAAGGGUGUAAGGCACUGAGGCUGGGAGGUGGCUCGGGAGUCUAAGCAGUGAUGUGUGACUCCAUGGUUGUACCUCACACAAGGGAGUCGCAUUACAAAUUCCUGAAAGGGGCCAGCCUCAGGCUGUGAGUUCUUCUCUGAGUAGACUCCUAGGCUCUGCAGGCAAUGCUAGUAACUGUCCCUGGCCUGCGUUCCUAAUUCCCUUUUGUCCCCUGUCUCUGGAUCGUCAUCAUUCUUGGGAUCCUUCUGGGCAUGGCUGGGGUCCACAUGGACACCAACAGCAGUGGGGCAAAGCAUUGGGAUAGAAGUGACCAUCCUCUCCUCCCCACAACCAGAACAAUACCCCAAGAUCUCUCUUGACUCCCAAGAACCCUGGCUUCGCUCUGCCAUCUCCUGGAGCUCCUUUGUCCCUCUUUAUCCCUCAGUAUCGGGUCAAGAAGACCUGGCUCCAUUCACCACAAGUUAUAAAAAAGAAGUCAGAGACUCCCCUGAAAGCAGAGUAACAUCCCCCCGCCCCCCACACACACAUACAGAGGAUGCCCAUAGUAGUCAUCAAAGCCUACCACACAAACUUUAUUGCCGACGAGUCAGUAAGGUCUCCUGGUCCCCCCUGCAGUCCAACACUGCCCUUUGGUGUUUGUCUUGUCCUAAAAUAAAGUGCAUGUGCCUUUGUCACCAGACCACAUGAAAAAACAGGAACUACUGUCCUUCGUCUCCCAGACCCUGGGCUGAGCCUCAGGCGAGGGCAUGGUUAGUACUUAAAAGCUAGAUAUGAAUGGACACUAACCCAGUAGACAGCUGGCUCUGGGAAGUCAUUCUGAAGUGAUCCCUGGGCCAGCUUCACUGCUGACCUUCUUCAGAUAAGAAGGUGCCCUCUGAAUUCUACCGGCCCACCUCUUUGCUCACCCCCGCUCUGGGGCUGAGAAUCGGUGGUCCUCUAUCUGAGAGAAGCCCACAGACAGGCUCUCUCUGUGUGUUUGGAGUGCCCCGGGACUAGACCAAGGUGCUUGCUACCUCCCUCCUUCCAGCCCUCUUUCAAAGCCCCCUUUGCACUGCUAAGUCGUCCUGAAGGUCCAGCCGGCUUCUCCUCUGGUUUGCUUCACAUCCCCUGCCUUCCUGUGUCCCCAAACUAAGUGGUCAGGACAGCCCUUGUCUUGACUCAGAGGAUGGCUCCUCCUGCAGCUCUUUCCUUCUGACACUUGGUAAGUGCCCUUGCAUGGUCUCUUUGAAGUACAUUCACUGUGGUUUGACACAAACCAGACACUGGGCUGCGGGCGAACUUGUCCUUCUCUCGCCAACCCUGGGGGGCGAAUGCUAACAUUUCUCCAGCUUUAGAGUUGAGAAAUAGAGGCUCUGAGAGGGAACAGGACUUGCCGGAAGUCUUCUGACUGAGAAGGGCAGUGCUGGGACCAGGCUGGAGAUAUGCCUGGGAUCCAGAUCUGCCAGGAACAACUGCCUCACUGCACUGCAG
rnacentral:lncRNA from 1 species